rnacentral:rRNA from 1 species
AGCCGGGGCUUCUUCUACGGCUACCGUCAUUAUCUUCACCGUUGAAAGAGCUUUACAACCCUAGGGCCGUCAUCACUCACGCGGCAUGGCUGGAUCAGGCUUGCGCCCAUUGUCCAAUAUUCCC